UGGUGGAGUGAUUUGUCUGGUUAAUUCCGUUAACGAACGAGACCUCGACCUGCUAAAUAGACGGAAUCAUCCCUCGGGAUGGUUUCGCGCUUCUUAGAGGGACUAUCGUGUGGUUCAGCCGGUGGAAGUUCGAGGCAAUAACA
rnacentral:rRNA from 1 species